GAAUGACUUCAGAAAAAGAGGUUUUUCAAUUGAUAAUUUUUGUAUGUAAGAGGUUAAAAGUGGCAAAUUUUAAACAGAUUUUUUAACUUUGUAUUACAUUCUUCCAUAAUUUUCUAUAUUAUCUAUUGUUGAGACUAUACAAAGCAUCUCAAGUAACUCAAGAAGAAUUUGAUUAGGUGCUGCAUUCCGUCAUCACAAUCGACAGACGACAAAUGAUAGAGAACCAAGGUAUUCGCUGCCAAGUACUGGGAAAUUCGCAUGGUUGGGAUAGAGAAUAUCCCAUCUGUGUGAUGAGCAUCUCAAGUACUGUCAAUCCGGAAGAUUUAGUUUACCCGUGCAUUUUGCAUUUCAUACAGUAUUGCCCGAGCUCCGAAGUAUAUCAUUUACCCAGACCGAAAUAAGUCAACCGAAGAAUACAGAGUAAAAUAUUCUGAGAAGCAUGUCGUGAAAAAUGAACAUGAGUUAGCCAACCUGUCAUCUAGCUCUGGAUGAGUGUGAAACGCGAUUUAUCGGAAGAUACUUUGACUCAAUUAUAUUUAUCUGGUGCAUCCUUCUCAUUGUGGUACUAAGAGAAUCUUUGUAGAAAAUCGGAGAACCGAAAUAAAAUGGGUUUUGUCCAGCUGAAACCGAGAGUA